ACAGUCAUAGCCUUUCGUGCAGUCUUAUCGUUCCAGAGACCAGUGACCUGAAUGUGAAUGAAAUAUUUUGGAUCUACUAAGUUGCACAGUUCCAGUAUUACUUUACGUUCUGCUGAAGAAUCUUCUACUUCUCAGUCAAGCUUCUUCGGGAAAGCAACGAUAUCGUAUUUGGGUCCAGCGGCUCCGACGCCGUGAACGACAUUGAUGACUGUGCCGUCGCUGAGCAGCUUGGGAUUAGGGCACUGGGAGUUGAUCCCCAGUUCUUUGUGAAGGUCCACCUGAGGCGGCAUCAGGGACGAAAACAAACAUGUUGAAAGGUCCGGCUAUGGCUGAGGAUCUUUUCAGCUUGUGCAGGUUUUGACACAGAAGAACACCUACCUUGCUGAUGGUUUCGAGCGUACUGGGAUCAACCUUGUGCAAAAACGGCGCUUCCGUUAUGCAAUAAUAUUCGCCCCCAAAGACAACUACGCCAACUGGUGCAUUGUCGGAGAAUAACUUGUCGAAGGCCAACUUUUCCCCUAAUCUAAAGGAACAAAACACUACUUAAAGAGAUUUGUUGGAGCUAAAGCUUUAUAGAAAAUGUAGUCUAUGUAUUUUAAAGACGAACAAAAAUAUUCAUAUUUGGUUAUAGCUUAGCGGUGUAGUUUACAAAAUGAUGGUGAAAAUGAUGAUGGCAAAUCAACAGACAUUCUUGCAUUACAACUAUGAUAUUAAAUGAAAUUCUAGCUAACCAAUUAAACCUCCUGGUCACAUACUUGCCCAACUUGCUUUUGGAGAGAGACUUCCCCGUCGUCCCGAACUCCGACACGACAAUCUGCUCGUUCUCGAGGUUGGUCUUGUAGGCGUAACUCCGGAGGAACCUGCUACUGAAGGUGGCGCCGUUUUCCCCAAGGGUGAACUUCUGUAUGAGGGCUGACCCGUCGAAUAUGUGGUUGAAUUCGUUCUCCCCGUAGGUCAUCCUGCCGGGACCAUCCAGCAGGUAGGAUCCCCUCAGCCACGGGGGGAGAAUUCCUAAAACAAGAGACAUUCGUACAUCGACGUCCCUGUGAUAAACUUACAGGACACUGUGAAUAAAGUAGAAAACGAAUGCACUCUAUAUAAGCUGCUUUCAAGGAAAGACGAUUUCAAUAACAUUAAGCGAAAAGGAAUGCAUGUUGCAGCAAAUAUUAUGGGGAAAAUGAAAAGAAUGUAAUAAACAUCAAUAUCA